rnacentral:rRNA from 1 species
UACGUAGGGUGCAAGCGUUAAUCGGAAUUACUGGGCGUAAAGCGUGCGCAGGCGGUUUUGUAAGUCUGUCGUGAAAUCCCCGGGCUCAACCUGAGAAUUGCGAUGGAGACUGCAAGGCUAGAAUCUGGCAGGAGGGGGGUAGAAUUCCACGUGUAGACAGUGAAAUGCGUAGAGAUGUGGAGGAACACCGAUGGCGCAAGG